AUGUGGAAGGGGCCUAGAGGCAGGACAGACACGGGUCAAGUCCACCCCAGACACCAGGGGGAGGGACGCGCAGGGGCGGCCGCCGCCGUCGUCAGGCCACCUGGGCGACAUGCGGCCGCUGCCCGAGCCUCGCUAACUUCCCGGGCGGAAGAGGAGGAGGAGGAAGGGGCUGUGAGCGACUGGGGGGAUGCCGAGAAGCAGUCAGUUCCCUGCACCCAACACCUAACAGCCCUUCCUCCGUGCGCCCCGCGGGGCGGCGGGCUCGGCGGCGCGGCGCGGCUCGGCGGACGGCCAUGUCCGGGCGGGCGAAGCCGCGCUCCCGGGCCCCGGGCCGCAGCGCGCGGCCGGAGCGGGCGGCGGCCGGCUCGGCGCCCCGGCCCAGGGAAAAUGUGAUAAAGACAAUACUGAAAAAGAUAUAACUCAAGCUACCAAUAGCCACUUCACACAUGGAGAGAUACAAGACCAGUCCAUUUGGGGAAAUCCUCUUGAUGGUGAACUUAUCAGAACCCAACCUCAGCGUUUGCCUCUGCUUCAAACUUCAGCACAGGAACCCAGCGAGGAGGAAAUAAGCAAGAUAAAGAACGGCCACACAAGUCUGAGCAAUGGAAAUGGAAUUCACCACGGGGCCAAACACGUAUCCACAGAUAAUCGCAAAUUUUCAGCACCUGUUUCUCAAAAAAUGCAUAGAAAAAUUCAGUCCAGCUUGUCUGUAAACAACGAUAUCAGUAAAAAGAGCAAAGUAAAUGCUGUCUUUUCCCAAAAGACAGGCUCUUCACCUGAAGAUUGCUGUGUCCACUGUAUCCUGGCAUGCUUGUUCUGUGAAUUCCUGACCCUCUGCAAUAUUGUCCUGGGACAAGCGUCGUGUGGCAUCUGCACCUCAGAAGCCUGCUGCUGUUGCUGUGGAGACGAAAUGGGGGAUGACUGUAACUGCCCUUGUGACAUGGACUGUGGCAUCAUGGACGCCUGUUGUGAAUCAUCAGACUGUUUGGAAAUCUGCAUGGAAUGCUGUGGAAUCUGUUUUCCUUCAUAAAUAUUUAUCUUUUGUUUGUGUUAAAA